UACGUAGGCAGCGAGCGUUGUUCGGAGUUACUGGGCGUAAAGGGUGCGCAGGCGGUGGAGCAAGUCUGUUGUGAAAUCUCCCGGCUUAACCGGGGGGGUGCGGCGGAAACUGUUCUGCUGGAGUGAGGGAGAGGCAAGCGGAAUUCCUGGUGUAGCGGUGAAAUGCGUAGAUAUCAGGAGGAACACCCGUGGUGCAGACGGCUUGCUGGACCUCCACUGACGCUGAGUGCGCGAAAGCCAGGGGAGCAAACGGG
rnacentral:rRNA from 1 species